GAGACCCUUACUGCUAAUUGCUAUCUGCCCAGAGAUGGGCGGAGGCUAGUUAUCAGGACUGCCGCUGCUAAAGCGGAGGAAGGAGAGGGCCACGGCAGGUCAGUAUGCCCCGAAACUCCUGGGCCACACGCGGGCUGCAAUGGUAGGGACAGUGGGUCCCGACCUCGACAGAGGAAGGCAAUCCUCAAACCCUACCCCAGUUGUGAUUGAGGGCUGAAACCCGCCCUCAUGAAUAUGGAAUCCCUAGUAACCGCGUGUCAUCACCGCGCGGUGAAUAC
rnacentral:rRNA from 1 species